rnacentral:rRNA from 1 species
UAGGGAAUCUUCGGCAAUGGACGAAAGUCUGACCGAGCAACGCCGCGUGAGUGAAGAAGGUUUUCGUAUCGUAAAACUCUGUUGUUAGAGAAGAACAAGGACGUUAGUAACUGAACGUCCCCUGACGGCAUCUAACCAGAAAGCCACGGCUAACUACGUUCCAGCAGCCGCGGUAAUACGUAGGUGGCAAGCGUUGUCCGGAUUUAUUGGGCGUAGAGUGAGCGCAGGCGGUUUCUUAAGUCUGAUGUGAAAGCCCCCGGCCCAACCGGGGAGGGUCAUUGGAAACUGGGAGACGUGAGUGCAGAAGAGGGGAGUGGAAUUCCAGGUGUAGCGGUGAAAUGCGUAGAUAUAUGGAGGAACACCAGUGACGAAGGCGGCUCUCUGGUCUGUAACUGACGCUGAGGCUCGAAAGCGUGGGGAGCAAACAGG